UAUCUCUAUCUUCUUUCUUCUGACUUUAUCAUUGGGCAGAAGGAGCUGACUCACUUAGUGUGAUGAAAAAUGACUCCGGCUCAGGCUGCCCCUUUCCUCAGAGUAGAUAAAGGCCCCCAAGGAUCUGCUUUUUCUAUGUCCCCUGGCAGAUCCCUAGCAACAUGGUCGAUGGCUAUUAUGAGACCAGCAGCCAGAGCCACACAGGGCUGGUCCUCUUGUCCAGCUCUGGGGAGAAGCAGGACAUACAAGAAUGGAGCCAGCAGGACUUUGAGUAGGAAACAGCCUGGAAAGGCAUCGCAGCUUCCCAACCAAAGAGGUCAGGAGGUCUGUGUCAGCUCCCCCGAGUCCUAGAGCCAAGCACAUCCUUGACCAUGGAGCUGAAUCCCUGAGUAACCUGGAAGCAACAAGAAACUAAGGACCUCUGUGGGCAGAUGAGGGAGCAGGGACCUGAGCCCAGGGAAUUUGCUCCAGCUCCUGAAGCUUCCUGCACUGUGUGCUGGUUGUCAAGCAACUACACUCUGGGCCUCUUCUGGAUGUAAAUUUAAACUUAUUUAGACUCAUCUUUGUAAUGUACUUCCGUGCAUUUUCUACUGCCUGUAGAGAUCCUACGACCCUCUUGUCACCACGCCCCGGCGCCCUCCAAUCACACCGUGGUUGACACAUACUCAAGUGUGUAGGGGAGUGCUUAUGUUUAGCAUUUUCCAGGGGAAAUUGUUUCAAAACCAUCAACCAACAAAUAUUUAUAGAAUGUUAUUUACCACUUCUGUGUUUAGCUACAUGAAAUAAUGGAAAUUCUCUAAAGCAAACCAGCCUUUUGGGUGAUUCUAUGGGUUUUGUUUUGUGACGAAGUCAGGAUCUCUUGUUGGAAAAAUGAUGGGGGGACAAAGAGUAAGAAAAUCUGAAGAGGGGAAGUCAGCAGAAAGGAAAUGACAGUAAUACCUGUAUCUACGCAUUCCUGAAAUUUAAAAACAAAACAUUAUCAUAGAAAACAACGAUGAUAAAAUAUCAUGUACCUAGCAGAUAAUGGACACGCACUAGGUAUAGUCAUUCUUCAUAUAUAUGCAUGCAUUUAAGUUUAUUUUUCUCAUGAAUCAAACUUUCCUAAAAAUUAUGUAUUGUCCUUUCAAUCCUAACAAUUUCACCAAGGUUUCCAUUUGACAGAAGAGGAAGUGUUGGCUCAGAGAGGUAAAACAACUUGCCCACAGUCAAGCAGCCAAUAAAUAAUAUAACUAAGAUGAAAACCUACCCCAGCAUUUCUCAGACCAUCCCAGAACCACCAGGGAUGAUUGCUUCAAAUGCUGGCAAUAGAAUUUUUGGGGUUUGGAUCUGGAGACCCAGGCUUUUACCAAACCCUCAAGUGAUUUACGUGUAGACAGAAGACCUUUCCCAGUGACUUCAUCAAUGAGAUUUACCGCUCGUUUCUUAACAAGGUGCAUAUAGCAAUAGACGUGUUACCUGGAUAUGAGUUUCCUAAAAUCCAUGCUCCACAAAAGCAUAGCUAACAUUAGAGAAGGAAAAAAAUAAUCAGCCAAUAUAUGCAACAAGACUUCUCUCAUGAAUGCCAAGUUAUUUAUCAGACCGAUUACCUAGAUCAGGGUUAGCAAGCUACAGUCCUCAGAACAAAUCCAU
ensembl:lncRNA